UACGUAGGGACCAAGCGUUGUUCGGAUUUACUGGGCGUAAAGGGCUCGUAGGCGGUUUGUCACGUCAGGAGUGAAAACUCGGGGCUCAACCCCGAGCCUGCUUCUGAUACGGGCAGACUAGAGGUAUGCAGGGGAGAACGGAAUUCCUGGUGUAGCGGUGAAAUGCGCAGAUAUCAGGAGGAACACCGGUGGCGAAGGCGGUUCUCUGGGCAUUACCUGACGCUGAGGAGCGAAAGUGUGGGGAGCGAACAGG
rnacentral:rRNA from 1 species